UUUGAUCCUGGCUCAGAUUGAACGCUGGCGGCAUGCCUUACACAUGCAAGUCGAACGGCAGCACGGGGGCAAUCCCUGGUGGCGAGUGGCGAACGGGUGAGUAAUACAUCGGAACGUGUCCUGUAGUGGGGGAUAGCCCGGCGAAAGCCGGAUUAAUACCGCAUACGCUCUACGGAGGAAAGGGGGGGAUCUUAGGACCUCCCGCUACAGGGGCGGCCGAUGGCAGAUUAGCUAGUUGGUGGGGUAAAGGCCUACCAAGGCGACGAUCUGUAGCUGGUCUGAGAGGACGACCAGCCACACUGGGACUGAGACACGGCCCAGACUCCUACGGGAGGCAGCAGUGGGGAAUUUUGGACAAUGGGGGCAACCCUGAUCCAGCAAUGCCGCGUGUGUGAAGAAGGCCUUCGGGUUGUAAAGCACUUUUGUCCGGAAAGAAAACCUUGUGGUUAAUACCCGAGGGGGAUGACGGUACCGGAAGAAUAAGCACCGGAAUAUCAG
rnacentral:rRNA from 2 species